rnacentral:rRNA from 1 species
UACGUAGGGUGCAAGCGUUUGUCCGGAAUUAUUGGGCGUAAAGAGCUCGUAGGCGGUUUGUCGCGUCGGCUGUGAAAUCCCGAGGCUCAACCUCGGGUCUGCAGUCGAUACGGGCGGACUGGAGUUCGGCAGGGGAGACUGGAAUUCCUGGUGUAGCGGUGAAAUGCGCAGAUAUCAGGAGGAACACCGGUGGCGAAGGCGGGUCUCUGGGCCGAUACUGACGCUGAGGAGCGAAAGCGUGGGGAGCGAACAGG